AUGUAUACAUCUAAACAACCUUUUCUUAAAUCUAAGCAACCCUUUAGUAAAUCCAAGCAAACUUUUAAUAAAUCCAAGCAACCCUUUCGUAAAUCCAAGCAAACUUUUCGUAAAUUCAAGCAACCUUUUCGUAAAUCUAAACAACCUUUUCGUAGGCGUCCCCGGAUUGGCCCGGGAGAUCGAAUUGAUUAUAGAAACAUGAGUUUAAUUAAUAGAUUUAUUAGUGAACAAGGAAAAAUAUUAUCGAGACGAAUAAAUAGAUUAACCUUGAAACAACAACGAUUAAUUACUCUUCUAUAA
rnacentral:rRNA from 1 species